CAGUAAUUGACGUUUUCUGUCAGCUAUAGACAGGCUCAGCGAUCAGCACAUAAUACAAUAUUGCAUGCAGGCACAAUCAAGGCAUGAGGAGUGGAAAUUUAGUCUUACUUCCAGCGCAAGCGUAUGUUUAUACUGUCUUGCACCUAGAGAAUGACAGAAUGGGAUGCAGCCACUCAUGAAAAUCAGGCUAAGACAGGCCAUUUAAUCAACAACGACAAAGAAAAGAAACCUAAACGACAACAUAUUAUUAUGUCAUCAUACAGUCACUGCAACAAAGGAAUACUGGUAAAAAUUAAGAUGGAUGUAAAAAGAAUUACUUCUGAGCCUCACAGUGAGUCAAUGUCAAACACAAUCCACACUACAGUGGCUGGAGAUAAAAUUCUGUUAAGAUGACUCAUCACCUUCAUGUAAUGAAGUGUUUAAGAAUAUUAAAGAGGUAUAAGAAAUAAAGAAUGAACAUUAUGAUGACAAAGUUAGAGAAGCAAGUCUGAAAACUACAGGGUUGGCUGGGUUUUUGCACAGUGCAACCCAAACCAUCUACUUCAAUGUACCUGAGCAUAAAACUUUAACUGACAGAGCUAGUAGAAAGCAGCCUCCUUGUGGUAAGACAUGAAGAGGGAGCAGCAGUUAUGUGACCUCAAAAAAAUGCAGUAGUGAAAGACUUGUGUUGCAGACAGCAGUGUAGAGAGAAACUGCACUCUCCUCCAAGUCACGUAGAGAGCUGUAACAUACAAACCACUUCAGGAAUUGUAUAAAAAACUAAUAAAUUCCCUAUACAAAUAGAAUGGACAUUUUUAAUCCGAGUCUGUCACUCCUGCAAAAGAAUUUGAGUGGCUGACCUAUUAAAGGAUCCAAUUAUUGGGCUAGCAGCCACCCAAUGUCUCCUAUGUCAAUAGCUUUCUCCCCAUUGUAUGCUCUGGUCUCACUUUUGCAACCACCUAUCCAAACAUUGCAUCACCUUGUUGCUUCUCUCCAUCCACCACAGGCUCUCAUCAGUAAAGCCAGGACAAAUGUACUCUACCUAGUCAAGUCAAAUGCUGCUUCUCAGUAUUCAGAGCAAUCAAAGAAACUGCUCUACCAAUUACACAUGAUGUACAUGUACUAUGCCACGUAGGCCUGUCCUACUAUUCAUCGGGAAGGAAGUGACUGCUGAUGUCAGAGGUCUAUGCGUGUUUAGAAAAACUUAUAGACCACUGUGAAAUUAGAAACCACUUUCUGUCUCCUCUUGUGCUGAUUUAUUAUUCUAUGUUAUGUCUUUAUACACUAAACAUUUUAAAUCCUCAAAUCAUACAACAGCAUGUGUAACUUUUUACCAGAACAGUUGCUCCAGUCAGUAUAAACAGGCUUAUUUUAACAAUAAAGCUGCAAAAACUCAUUGUAUUUUAAGUGUUUGCACUAAGGUGACUAAUUUAAAAUUCUCCUUCAAAGAAA